rnacentral:rRNA from 1 species
CCUACGGGUGGCAGCAGUGAGGAAUAUUGGUCAAUGGACGAGAGUCUGAACCAGCCAAGUAGCGUGAAGGAUGAAUGCCCUAUGGGUUGUAAACUUCUUUUAUAUGGGAAUAAAACAGGGUAUGCAUACCCUCUUGUAUGUACCAUAUGAAUAAGGAUCGGCUAACUCCGUGCCAGCAGCCGCGGUCAUACGGAGGAUUCGUGCGUUAUCCGGAUUUAUUGGGUUUAAAGGGAGCGUAGGUGGAAUGGUAAGGCAGUUGUGAAAGUUCGCGGCUCAACCGUAGGACUGCAGUUGAAACUGGCGGUCUUGAGUACCGUAGAGGUAGGCGGAAUUCGUGGUGGAGCGGUGAAAUGCUUAGAUAUCACGAAGAACUCCGAUGGCGAAGGCAGCUCACUGGACUGCAACUGACGCUGAGGCUCGAAAGCGUGGGGAGCAAACAGGAUUAGAUACCCGGGUAGUC